UACGUAGGGGGCAAGCGUUGUCCGGAUUUAUUGGGCGUAAAGAGCGUGUAGGCGGCCAAGCAGGUCAGCUGUGAAAACUCGAGGCUCAACCUCGAGACGUCGGUUGAAACCGUUUGGCUAGAGUCCGGAAGAGGAGUGUGGAAUUCCUGGUGUAGCGGUGAAAUGCGCAGAUAUCAGGAGGAACACCAAUGGCGAAGGCAGCACUCUGGGACGUGACUGACGCUGAGACGCGAAAGCGUGGGGAGCAAACAGG
rnacentral:rRNA from 1 species